rnacentral:rRNA from 1 species
AUUGAACGCUGGCGGCAGGCCUAACACAUGCAAGUCGAACGAGUGGCGGAAGGGUGAGUAAUGUCUGGAAAACUGCCUGAUGGGGGGGGAUAACUACUGGAAACGGUAGCUAAUACCGCAUCACAUCAUAUGUGCCCAGAUGGGAGUCGCUUGGGGGGGGGGUAACGGCUCAACAAGGCGACGCUCCAUAGCUGGUCUGAGAGGAUGACCAGCCACACUGGAACUUAGACACGGUCCAGACUCCUACGGGAGGCAGCAGGGGGGAAUAUUGCACAAUGGGCGCAAGCCUGAUGCAGCCAUGCCGCGUGUAUGAAGAAGGCCUUCGGGUUGUAAAGUACUUUCAGCGGGGAGGCGUUACCCGCAGAAGAAGCACCGGCUAACUCCGUGCCAGCAGCCGCGGUAAUAC